CUGCGCGACCGGCGCACGGGUGAGUAACACGUAUGCAACCUGCCCUCCGCAGGGGGAUAACCCGGAGAAAUCCGGACUAAUACCGCGUGGUACACCAGUGGGGCAUCCCACGGGUGUUAAAAGGAAGCGAUUCCGGCGGAGGAUGGGCAUGCGGCGCAUUAGCUAGUUGGCGGGGUAACGGCCCACCAAGGCGACGAUGCGUAGGGGUUCUGAGAGGAAGGUCCCCCACACUGGUACUGAGACACGGACCAGACUCCUACGGGAGGCAGCAG
rnacentral:rRNA from 1 species